UACUGUUUUCUUUUUAUUUAU
rnacentral:piRNA from 1 species